UUGGCCAUGUCAAAGUGCUUACAGUGCAGGUAGCUUCUUGAGAUCUACUGCACUGCAAGCACUUCUUACAUUACCAU
rfam:Rattus norvegicus chromosome X, whole genome shotgun sequence.